UGCUGCCGCAAUCCGCCGCUUGCCUUCGCCGCCGCCCGCGCUGAAUCCGAGCCGGAGCGCGCGUCGGUUGCCGUCACAUCGACCCCACCGGCCCGGCGCGGCGCCAGCACUCGCCGCCCCUCCGCCGUCCGCGCGCACAGGUGAGAUGAAGCAUCUAGAUGAGCUGAGUCCGCAUCGAGGAAUAGGUUGAUGUCAUCUCCUGUGCUGUCGCCACUCGAGGAUAGCCGAGCGGAGCACUCUGUUCGGCGUGAGCUCGCGGUUUUCGAGACUCAGGUUCGUCAUCGGCGACCUGGCGUUGCCGCCGUCGAGCCAGUUUCUGAUGGCAUUGGCUUCGUACGUGUACCCGUCUGCUGCGAUGUGAGGAUCAGUCAUCACCUCCUGUUCACCAUCCAUCGGAGCAAAAGUUCUGGCGGCACAUAUAUUGCAAGAAGGUUUUCAUUGGGUUCCCUGUAAGUGCACACAACUAAUGGAUUUUAGUCAUUUUCCUGGUUUCUUGGUAAGAGUGCAAUACACUGGUAUCCUAGUUCAAUUCGUUGACAGAAGUAAAGAUACUCAAAUGUAGCAUUAUGUGUCCUACAAUUCUCCGCAUGCUGUACGAAGUACUAUUAUGCAUGAGAUGCACUAAGCUCUAUGAAGUUCAAAAAGUCAGGUAGCAAAUGACCAUUCACUUGACUUUACCUUGUGCAUAUCAGAUGGCCAUUGCAGGUAAACCAUAUCUUGCAUGAUGGGGAUGCAGUCUCCAUCAGCUUGAGGGCUAUCUUGGAAUUUGGUUCUUUCAUUUCCCUACAGGUUAUAAUAUCAUAAGGUUUGUGCACAUAUAUUUAGUAUGGAUUCAUCUCAUAAAAUGUUCUAUCUAUUCCUGCUACCUAUGUAGUUUGAUUAGUCCUGGACUCCUGAUGCUGGUGUAGAAUGAAAUAAAUUUACGACUGAAGUUUUAGUUCAUUAAUUUGCUGACGCUGAUAGCCUAGUCCUGAUAAAUCUUCAGAGCUUCAAGUACUAAGUUAUCCACAUAGUCCGAUACACCGUCUUAAGUACCAGAGCCUCCAGUUCCAGGAAUAAAUUUCUCUCUCUAUCUCUCUCCCCUUUUUUUUUAUUUGCGAUGAGAAAUAGUAAAAUUUUCUUGAAAACAUUACAGGAAAAACGCUACAUUAGGCAGAUGUGGUCCAUACUCUGAGUAGUGUUGGUCUGCGGCUGCUCCCAUGACAAGCCUGGUGAUGCCAUGAAGGGUAAUAAGUUCCUCGAGUCCUUUUGCGACAUCGUCCAUGUCAAUUAGUACUUUCUGACAAUCAGUCUGAAAUAGUAGGAUUAAUGUUCAUGCUCAUAUUGAUUAUAUUUUGACUGAUAAACAUCAUUUCGUCCCCACGUUACUUGAUGCAAGUAAUUUUUUUCACAAGCACUAACAAAAAAAGUAAUGAGACAAUUUUACCUUCAUAUCUUUUCCUGUGCUUUUCGCUAUCAGAGCAUAUUCAUCUAGGUUCUUCUCGGCCUCUUCCUUCGCCAACAUCAGGUACUCGCUGAUCUCUUCAGGCUUCAUUCUGGGCUGUGGACAUGAGCAACUACAAUAUUGGCCCCGUCCGUGGACAGGUUCUGCAGCGCCCAAAGGAAUGUGCUCUUGCCGUGCUCGACGUCCUCGUCGACGGCCACGAACACCUUGUCCUCGCCGGCGGCCAGGCUCUGCUCGUCCCACUGGUCGCCGGCGUCCUGCAGAGAGCCGGCCGACGAGCUGACGCUGCACCGAGCGCUCCACAUCGCGUCGUACUCUUCGCCGUCGCUAUCCAUUGCUGCUUCCUGACGUUGAGAAAUGAGAAGCACAAGACCAUGCAGCUGCAGAGUAACUGCCCAGCCGUUUCAUGAAUGGAAAUUUCGAGAUCAAGUUACAGAAGAAAGCAGAAGUAACCAGAAGCCAAAGUCGACGCUAUGACUUUACACAACGGUGGGACGAGAUGCCAUUUGCGCUCGCGUUGGCGUGAUCAAGCAAGCAAACGUAGCUCAUACGCGCGUAUGUCGCUAAAGGGAGAUGUAUUGUAUACUACUGUAUGCAGGGACGAUGUUUGCCGCGUGGACCCAAGCUGAGUAACUUGGAAAUUACCGAGCAUUCGACGUGGACGUGACAAGUUGAUGCAGUUUAUAGUUUAAGACCAGCGUCAAGCAAUGAAGCGAGCACGCAACACAAGUACAACGAACAGUUCUGCUUGGGCCUAUAUAAAAAAGUUUUGCUUGGGCCACCUCCCGAAGCAGAGGCAUGGAUGGGCCGAUGCGUUAGCAUUCAUGGGCCACGAAUUUUGUGGGAUUAAACUUUUCUCAGUGACUAAGGCCACUGUUCACGGGCCAGCCACUGUGCACCGGGAUGGAUCAGGCCUCACGUCCUCACGAUCACGGGAGGCCGCCCGCCGCCGCCUCCGUGCACAUCUCUUUUCGCUGUUCGUCACUUAUAUACAGGGGAAGACGGAUCAGAACCAGAUUCAACAUGGGUAAAAUUGGGUAGGAUUACCAACUGCAAAUGUCUGUACUCCACAGCGGAAAUCGCAAAUCAAAUUAACGAGCACAAAAGACGAACAGGGAUCUACAGUCAGGACGAAGCGAAGCGCCAGGUAUGGAGGAUAUCAACUGCGGUGAGUGAUGAUUGAUGAGAGAUUGCUCAUGUACAGUCGUCGUCCUCCUCUUGCGGCUGAUGCCGUUGACGCUGUUGCUGCCACUCGAGGAUGGCCGAGCGGAGCGCCCUGUUCGGGAUGAGCUCGCGGUGCUCGAGCGUCAGGUUCGUCAUCGGCGACGUGUCGUGGCCGCUGUCGAGCCACCCCUUGAUGGCCUCGGCUUCGUACGUGAACCCGUCCGCCGCGAUGUGGGGAUCGUUCAUCUCCUCCUGCUUUCACAUCCAUCCCAACACGAGUUUGAAUCAUCCCCCAUAGUUUACUCAUAUUCCUUUGGCUUUUUAGAAAAUAAAAAUAAAUUGUUGGGUAAACUUAUAUAUAUAUAUAUAUAUAUAUUCUUGAUAAUUUAAAAGUCAAUAAAAAAUUACGUUUAAAAUAUCUUAAAAUUAAUUUUAAAAUUAAGUUUGAAAAUUUUGACUCUUUCUUCAGCUGAUUAGAGCAUCCGAUGGAAGCCAUCAUCCAAUCACGAGGAAAUUUUGCCUCGAUUUUUUUCAGGAAUAAUUUAAUCACGGAUUUUUUGCUACCUGAAAGAUCGGGCAGACGAAGUAGGACGGCGGCGGGGAGUCGUCCGGCCGGGCCACGAACGACGGCCUCCCGGCGGUCAGCGACGCGGCCUUCAUGAGGGGCUCGACGACCUUCCACACGUCGGUCGCGAGAUCCGGCCGGCGCCUCCGGCUCAUCUCGGCGCACCGCAGGCCGAGGUGCGCGAGCUGGUUGGCCUGCACGAACGGCCAGCUCCCCGCGGAGGGAUCGAGGAUGGAGUGCAGCCCGCCGCUCUCGAUGGCGUCCUCCACAACCUCGGCGAUCUUCUGGGGAGGCUUCCCGGUCAGCAGCCGCAGGAUGAUGAUUCCGAGGGAGUACACGUCGGAGCGCGGCGUCAGCUCGCCGGUGGUGAGGAACUCCGGGUCCAUGUACGCGAAGGUCCCCUUCGGUGUGGUCGUCCGGUACAACCGGGUGGUGGCGGCGGCGGCGGCGCCGGUGUUCGUCUGUAUCAGGAGCCGGCAGAUGCCGAAGUCGCCCAGCUUGCUGACGAAGUUGGCGUCGAGGAGGAUGUUCGCCGGCUUCAGGUCGCCGUGGACAAUCGGGUGCGGCUUGUUCGAGUGGAGGAAGCUCAGCGCCGAGCACAUCUCGUAGAUGAUCCUGGUGCGCACCUGCCAUGUCAAUGGCGGCGUGUUGUUCAGGCAGGCCAGGCGGUCCUCGAGGCUGCCUUUGGGGAGGAAUUCGUACACCAAGCCAAAUGCCUCCCUGCAAGAGCCGAUCAAAGUGACGAGGUUUGGAUGUCGUACUCUACUGAGAACAGCAAUCUGCAAUAAUGGUGUCAAUUGCUUGGUUAGCCAUGGUUGCCAACUUGAUUUGAUGGAGUUAUGUGAGUGAUCUGAUGAACUGGAUUACCUCCUGGUCGAAUUCUGAUUGACCUUGCAUGCUAUGUGGGUGCAGCAGCUUGAUAGCCACAGUUGUGUUGCGGAGUGUGCCUUUGUAGACGCUCCCAAAACCGCCCUCGCCGAUCUUGAGUUCUUGAUCGAAGCCUCUGGUCGCUUGUUCAAGCUCAUAAGAGGAGAACUCGGUGUUUAGAUCUUCACCCGGCAUGGAAAUUCUCUGUUUGUUCUUCAGGCGCAAGUCUUGAGAUUCACUUACUGCGGCAUCUCGCUCUUGUUGUAGCUUCUCUUUAUCUGCUUGGAGCACUUGGAGUAGAUACUUGCUCUCUGCGAGCUUCUCUUCGCGUUCUUUUAAAACUGAACGAAUUUCAGUUAUACGGUGCUCCACCAUGAGUUUCUGCUCUUCUACAUCAUGCAGCUUAUCUUUGUGUUCUUUUAAAACUGCCUGCAUUUCAGUUAUGCGCUGCUCCACCGUGAAUUUCUGCUCUUCUACAUCAUGCAGCCUAUCUUCGCGUUCUUUUAAAACUGCCUCCAUUUCAGUUAUGUGCUGCUCCACCAUGAGCUUCUGUUCUUCCACAUCAUGCAGCUUGUCAUAUAAUGCAUUGCAGUGCCUUUCCGUUUCUUCUGUCUCCUGUAUCUGUUUCUCCAGUGCCUCUUCGGUUAUUUUCCGAUGCAUGACUUCCUUCUGAUACAGGUUCUCCAACUCUUUGACCUGUCUUGAGUUUCACUAAGAGCCUCUUGGAGUCUACCAUAUAUGUCUGCAUCAUCGCCUGAAUUCUCCUGUGUUGCACAAAAAGUUCAGUUAUGUGUUACAUUUCAUUGAGAAGAGUCCUACUCUUAUGUUUUUCAACUUGCACAGUACAUCAGGCGAUAUGUACCAGUUUACGAGGAGAUACAAAAUGGUCAUCAUCAGGUUCAUACAUGGGCUGCUGCAUUGCUGAUCCAGAGACCCUAACUGUAUCACUAUUUCUUGAUGAAUCGUAGCAGGAGUUUUGCGAUCUCUCAAAUUCAUCCCAGGAAUCUAUAGAACCCAUUGCUGUUCUUGUUGGCUGGUCAUUGACAUCUUGAUCUGAAUGUCCAAAUAACUGAGAUGGUGCAGUGCCAGAUCCUUGUGAGGGAUACUUUGCCACUUCUGUUCUUGAUCUGUUCAGAUUGUGCCUUGGACUUCCGCUUGAGCUUGAUGCUUCACUCUCUGACGGGUGCAAUGACAUUGAUCUCAUACGGCUGGAAAUGCUGCUUGAUGACAAUGUUGAUGCAACUGUGUGUGCAGGUGAUGGUGGUAUUGCAGGAACGGUUGUAUUUGCUUCCCUGCAAUGUUGACGGAUGUCCUUUACAGGUAAACCAUAUCUUACAUGAAGGAUCUGCUGCUUCCAAUAUCUUGAGUGCUGUCUUGGACUUAGGUGUGUUCAUUUUCCUGCAUAUUGGGAAAACAUCCAGGUUCGAAACUGUUAAAGACUUUACAGACCAUUCUGUUUCUCAUUUCUUUUUUUGAGGGGACUUUCUGUUUCUCAAUUCUUGCUAGCGGCAAACACUGAAUGCUACUUCCUCCGUUUCAUAUUAUAAGACUUUCUAGCAUUGUAUACAUUCAUAUAUAUAUAUAUGUUAAUGAAUCUAGACAUAUAUGUGUGCCUAGAUUCAUUAACAUCUAUAUGAAUGUAGACAAUACUAGAAAGUCUUAUAACCUGAAACGGAGGUAGUACUUAUCAGGGAAGAAACAAUAUUUUGUGAAACAGUUUUAAAUGUGCAAUGUGUGUGCUAGUCAUCAGAAAAAAAAAACUUAUGAGGUUGUGGUCACCUUGAGUAGUGUUUGUCUGCUGCUGCUCCCAUGACAAGCUUGGUGACGCCAUGAAGGGCAACAAGAUCUGUAAGGCCUUUAGCAAUGUCGUCCUCCUCAAUUAUUAGUUUCUCACAGCUGACCUGAGAAAACGAAAUAUUGAUCAAAUUAUUCCUGAGAUAUAUAUUGAUAUAUCUUCUCGAGUAAUAUUAGUAGAAUGCAUAAUUGGGUAUUAGGUAAUUUAUUACUUUGUUGAUUGCUCAUUAGGAAAGACAUAAGAGUGGUUGAGAAGAACACCUUCAGUUUUCUGCAUAUCAGAAGAUAUUCAUCUAGUUUCUCCUCUGCCUUUUCUCUCUCCUUGUUCCUAUAGUCGUUCACCUGUUUUGUAUUCAUCUUGGUAUAAUGAACUUUUGCCCCCACUGAAACAAUAGGAAUCAAGGACAAGCUAUUUAAAAGGUGACAAACAAAUCAUGGAGGAUUUCUGAUCGCACUGGUGACAAACAAAUCAUGGAGGAUUUCUGAUCGCACUAGAAGUCAGAAAUCAGAAGUGAACCAGUUGCAUCGUUUGCAAAUAUUAACAUCAUCAAACAAAUGAUUGAGGACUGGAGGCUUACUCAUGGGGAUCAUCUGCGCGGGGCAGUGGACAUGAGCAAUCACGACCUUGGCGCCAUCCUUGGCCAGGUUCUGCAGCGUCCACUGCAAGGCGCUCUUGCCGUA